GCCUGGGACAGUGGGAGGUGUCCCCAUGGCAGGGGUGACACUGGAUGGGAUUUAAGGUCUCUCCAACCCAAACCAUUCCAUGGAUCUGGGAUCUUUCUUGUCACCUCCCUUCAGGCAUUUCCCUUAGGUCACCCCAAAGCUUCUCCUGUGCAGGUGAACAAUCCCAGCUGUGCCAGCCUUUCCUCCCAGCAGAGCUGCUCCAUCCCUCUGCCUCCUCUGCACUUGCUCCAGCAGCUCUGUGUCCAUCUGCCACAAUGUGGUGCUUGCACACGAUGGAAGGAGUUCAGAUUCUUUUCUCUGUUUACUUUUUAAAAGCUGCAUAAUUGCACACAUCCAAUCUGCUUUAAAUGAGGACUAGGUUGCAAAAUCAAUACCACAUAAUGAGGAGAGUUAUUUCUUCUUCCUCUCCUUUGCAUCUGCAUAUGCAAAGCAGAUAAUUGCCUACUUUUCUUUUCCAUGGGCUCUGUGCCACAUUUAUUUUUCAGGGUGGAGCCACUCUGGAGCUGUGUCAGGAUGACAUAGAGGAGGAGACUGCUGUCUCCAGAAGUUUUUCCACAUUUGUUUCAGCAGACAGGAGAUGAGCAGUGAAUUUGCAGGGGAUCACGUGGAAAAGGAUGAGCUCUUGGGUUGAAACCAGCUGGGAUGUGCCUUAGGAAGGGAUUGAAUCCCUCCUUCCUCCCUUGGGUGAGGCUGCACAAAAGUGCUGAAUGAUCCCAGAUGGAAUAAAUUCAAUUGGUGCUACACAUGUGAAGUGCUCUGAAUGAGGAAUGCAGCAACUUCUUGAAAUACUCACUUGAGCUCUUCACUGUCUCAAACUGAGGAGCCAGAAUCUAAAGAACUUUCAAUUGCAGGAUGGAAGAGGUGACACAGGGAAUGCCAAGAUGAUUGAUGGCCUUUUCUCCUCACUCCUCAGCAAGGAGAAUGAACAAUGGCCCAUUGAGUAACCACGGAGAACAGAGAGAACACAGCAGAAUAUUUCAGUGAGUUGGGGUUUUUCCAGUCAGCCAGACCUGGCAGAAACCAACUGAGAGGAUGUGGAGGACUGCCUGAAUCCUAGAGGAAUCCACAAGGAAUCCCUUCCCACCCCUGGAAAAGGGAAGAGCAGGGACAGGUGCUGCACUCACCUGAGUAAAAAACCAGCCUGGGCAAUGUCAGAGGAGAAAACAGCCCCAACUUGAAUUCCUGGAAAUUUCUGGAAACAAAUAACAAAACAAAGUUUUCUUUUGUGCAUGGGAAAUAAUGAAAAGAUAAGUGGAGGCCAAGAAUGAUUUGCCAGGAACAAAUCCUGCCCAGCCAGGCUCAUUUCCUCCCCUGACAAGUAGCAGCUCUUAUGGACAAUAGAUACUGCAUAUCUUGACUGGAGUGAGGCUUUCAGCACAGCCUCCACUGAGGAACUAAAAUGAAACCAUUGUAAGCUGGACUCAGCUGUUUGAAACAUCAAAAACCCUCCAAGAGAGUUUGUUGUUGAUGUGGAAAAAAUAUAGAGAGUGUUUUUGCAGGUGCCUUGCCCGGAGUUUGUGCCCUUCCCUGUUUCCCUUGUGUUUUGGAGGAUGAAGGAUCAAGUGGGGAAGUUCUACCAGGAUUAACAUCUUGAUCCUUGAAGAAAUGGUGUGAAAACAGCAGGAUUCAGUGCAGGUGUAAAUUGAGAUUUAGAUAAGAAUAAACCCCCCGGUGGAAGGAGCCAACAAGGCAAAGAACCUGGACAAAAAGCCAUGGGGAUUUUGGAAGAGCUUAAGCUCCCUGGGAAUCAAAAACAGUGUGGGAGAGCAAGGAUUGUCCUGAAAUGUCUAAACAGGCUGGUUGGGAUGUGUGGAAUAAUUCCUGCACUCCCACUCAGCCCUGGGGAGGUGUGAAAGUGAAAAAUGAACGAUUCCCUUUGGUCACUGAACUCAGGAAACCCCAGUGUGCUCUCACAACUUCCUCACCAGGCCAAUUAGGGAAAGUCCUGAGAGCACAAAAAGGUGCUGAAAGUCUUGAAAAAAAAAGCUGACCCUGGAGGAAAAUCUCAAAGAAUUUGGUUUGGUUGUUUUUAUCUAGAGAAAAUAGGGCAGAGAAGAAACAUGAGAAGAGUCUUCAAAUAUGUAACAGGUAGAAGGCAGCAGGAAACUCUCAAUGCUUGGAGGGCAGCAGGGAGCUUAAACAAUAUCCAGAAUUGCAGUUUCUGCUGGAUUUAAGGAAAAACUUCCUAGCUGGGGAGUUAAGGAAGCCUUGGAGGACACUGAGGGUGUUAAAAGCAGGUGGAAAAAGCAUCACUGAUUAUUUGUAUGUUGGGGAACCCAUGAGGGAAGAAGCUUUGAGGCAAAUGUACCUGAAGAGCUGCAGAAAUGGUUUUGAAAGGCUCAGGUGACAUCUGGAGCUGGAGACAUCCCAAGGGUGCUGUCCAUGGGUGAAGCAUCACAGCUCCCAGGAAGUUCCUUCCAGCAACCUCAAAGCAGGAAAAGAAGAGAAAAAAUCAGCUCUAAGAUGCAAACAUUGAAAGGUUUCUGAGCCCCAGAUCAUUCCUUGAGGUCUUUUUAUCCCUUCAGUGAUUGUAAACAGACACAGAUGGUGCCAGAAUGACUGAAUUUCUGCUUCAGUGGUUUCCUGCCACAGGUGAGAAAAAGGAUGUUAAGCUUUGUUGGUGUCUUUUGCAAAAUAAAUAAAUAAAAAUGGAGAAAUAAAUAAAUAAAGGAAUGCAGGCAGAAUCCUGUGCAUUUCUGGCAAGAGGAGCCUGCAAUCCCAUCACCUGGGAGACAAGCAGGGACUGGCACUGCUGCUCUGCCAGGAGAAUGAGAGGUUUUGUCAGGGGCCUGAGGGAUGGAUCCCUCUGCAAACAUUCAGGAGGCAGCACUGCCACUGGUCACUGUCACUUGGUCUUGUCCUAGAGCCAAGGCAAGGAAAUGAGAAGCAGCAGAGGGACAAAGAGCUGGGAAGGGGCUGAGGGAGCUGGGAAGGGGCUCAGCCUGGAGAAAAGGAGGCUCAGGGGGGACCUUGUGGCUCUGCACAACUCCCUGACAGGAGAUCAAUCCAUCAAUUAUCAAUUUACAGAAAAUAAGGAGUUAAUACCCUCCUUAUCCCCUUGUCAGCCCAAAGAAUUGGUUUAUGUUUCCAGGGGUGACAAAUGUUAUCUGGAGGAAUUUCUUCGUGGGAAGGA